CCCAAACCCAUGUGAACAUACCUAUUGUUGCUUCGGCGGGAUUGCCCCGGGCGCCUCGUGUGCCCCGGAUCAGGCGCCCGCCUAGGAAACUCAACUCUUGUUUUAUUUUGGAAUCUUCUGAGUAGUUUUUACAAAUAAAUAAAAACUUUCAACAACGGAUCUCUUGGUUCUGGCAUCGAUGAAGAACGCAGCGAAAUGCGAUAAGUAAUGUGAAUUGCAGAAUUCAGUGAAUCAUCGAAUCUUUGAACGCACAUUGCGCCCGCCAGUAUUCUGGCGGGCAUGCCUGUCUGAGCGUCAUUUCAACCCUCAUGCCCCUAGGGCGUGGUGUUGGGGAUCGGCCAAAGCCCGCGAGGGACGGCCGGCCCCUAAAUCUAGUGGCGGACCCGUCGUGGCCUCCUCUGCGAAGUAGUGAUAUUCCGCAUCGGAGAGCGACGAGCCCCUGCCGUUAAACCCCCAACUUUCUAAGGUUGACCUCAGAUCAGGUAGGAAUACCCGCUGAACUUAAGCAUAUCAAUAAGCGGAGGA
rnacentral:misc_RNA from 1 species